rnacentral:rRNA from 1 species
AUUGAACGCUGGCGGCAGGCCUAACACAUGCAAGUCGAGCGGAUGAAGGGAGCUUGCUCCUGGAUUCAGCGGCGGACGGGUGAGUAAUGCCUAGGAAUCUGCCUGGUAGUGGGGGAUAACGUCCGGAAACGGGCGCUAAUACCGCAUACGUCCUGAGGGAGAAAGUGGGGGAUCUUCGGACCUCACGCUAUCAGAUGAGCCUAGGUCGGAUUAGCUAGUUGGUGGGGUAAAGGCCUACCAAGGCGACGAUCCGUAACUGGUCUGAGAGGAUGAUCAGUCACACUGGAACUGAGACACGGUCCAGACUCCUACGGGAGGCAGCAGUUGGGAAUAUUGGACCAUGGGCGAAAGCCUGAUCCAGCCAUGCCGCGUGUGUGAAGAAGGUCUUCGGAUUGUAAAGCACUUUAAGUUGGGAGGAAGGGCAGUAAGUUAAUACCUUGCUGUUUUGACGUUACCAACAGAAUAAGCACCGGCUAACUUCGUG